CAUUCGACACAAGAUGGCAACUACCGUGAGCGGAGUGUUUCGCGAGGAAUUGCGCGAUGCGAUUUUACGCAGCAAGGUACUCGUCGUGGGUGCCGGUGGCAUCGGUUGCGAGAUCCUGAAGAACCUUGUCAUGUCUGGGUUCGCGGACAUCGAGAUUAUUGAUUUGGAUACAAUAGAUGUAAGCAAUUUAAACAGACAGUUUUUGUUUCAAAAGAAACAUGUGGGAAAGUCAAAAGCGAGUGUUGCACGUGAAACUGCAUUAACAUUUAAUCCAGAUGUCAAAGUGAUACAUUACCAUGACAGUAUUACAUCAUCAGAGUUUGGUUUGUCGUUUUUUAAGAGAUUCACAGUGGUUUUAAAUGCUCUUGACAACAGAGCAGCCAGAAACCAUGUAAAUCGUAUGUGCUUAGCAGCAGAUAUACCAUUGAUCGAAUCUGGUACUGCAGGCUAUGAAGGUCAGGUAGAACUCAUAAAAAAAGGCCUGAGUCAAUGUUAUGAAUGUACACCCAAAGCUGCACAAAAGACUUAUCCUGGUUGUACAAUACGUAACACACCUAGUGAGCCUAUUCACUGCAUAGUGUGGGCCAAGCAUCUCUUCAAUCAAUUAUUUGGAGAAGAAGAUCCCGAUCAGGAUGUUUCUCCAGAUACAGCAGAUCCUGAAGCCACUGACGUAGCAGGGGAGGGAGCUUUGCAGACAGAGCACAAUGACAAAGGCAAUAUUGAUAGAAUUUCCACGCGAGUUUGGGCUCAAUCUUGCGACUACGAUCCAGAAAAAUUAUUUACAAAACUUUUUCACGAUGAUAUCAAGUAUCUGUUAAGUAUGGACAAUUUAUGGAAGAAGCGCAGAUCACCGACAGCAUUGAAUUGGAGAGAAUUACCAGAUGGAGGUUUGUCAUUGUUCCAUAAAUAUCUUUUUUUCUUUCAUUUUUUCAUCGAGAUUAAUAAUAUUUUAUCUCUUUUCAAAGUGGCUGGAUGUAGUAAAGAGAUUAAUCAGCCUGGACUGAAGGAUCAACAACGUUGGAGCAUUUCUAAAUGUGGCUCCAUUUUCGCUGAUUCAUUAAAAAAUUUGAGCCAGGCGUUGAAAGCUUCCCAAGAAAAAUCGCUGGACAAUCAUCUGGUCUGGGAUAAGGAUGAUCAACAUGCCAUGGAUUUUGUCGCCGCGUGUGCUAAUAUUCGCGCACAUAUCUUUGGAAUUCCUCAAAAGAGCAGAUUUGAUAUCAAGUCAAUGGCCGGCAAUAUAAUCCCAGCGAUCGCAACUACAAAUGCUAUAAUUGCGGGCAUGGUGGUCCUUCAUGCUUUCCGAGUUCUUGAAAAUAAUUUACGGGCUUGUAGAUCCGUCUACCUUCGUCUGAAGAUGAAUCAUCGUAAUCAGCUGUUAGUGCCGGAGAAGGCAGUAAAUCCACCCAAUCCGCACUGCUACGUCUGCGCGCCUACUCCGCAAGCCGUGCUGGCGGUCGACACCUCCAAUAUGACUAUUAAAGAACUAGAGGAAUUAGUGCUCAAGAACAGACUUAACAUGAUCGCUCCUGAUGUCAUGAUCGAUGGCACUGGCGCCGUCGUCAUCAGCAGCGAGGAAGGCGAGACAGAAAGCAAUAACGACAAAAAAUUGGAAGAAUUGGGAAUCAGAGACGGAGCUAUCCUCAAAGUCGAUGAUUUCCAGCAGAAUUAUUCGCUAACUGUCUUCGUAGUUUAUCGAGAGAAACCUGGUCCAAAAGAUGACAGUCCACAAUUUUUAAUAUUGGCUGAUAAGAAUGCACUUAAACCGAAGGAUGAGGAGGAAGAACAGAAAGCUUCGACGUCUAAUGGACAGAACGUGACCGAUAUAUCAGAUACUGCUAAAAAGCGCAAAAACGAUUCAUCCGAAUCUGAAAUUGCAGCCAAAAAACGCAAAGUGGAAAUUGAUAAUAACAAGGAUAAUAACGAUGACAUUUGCAUUAUUGAUAAUGAUGAUGAACUUCAUAACAUACCCGAAUUGAAAAAAACUAUCCCGAGGAAGCGGAAACUUUCCGAGGACACUGAUUGUUUGAUAGUGUGCGAUGAUCAUACCGACUAGUUUCAAAACACAAGGCAAAUACUUAUCUAUUUUAUAAUUAUACAUCUCAAAAUCUAUUUUGUACCUUUCGUACAGCCGCAGAAUUAUGUCGGUUGUCAGAUUAUGGAAGUAUUUGCAUGUUACAUCAAAGUUAGUGAUCCCAGCAUGAGUGCGCUGCAGUCUGGGCAGUUUCAGAAUGAAAUUGUAGCUCGUAUCACAGACUGCGCAAUGAGUAUAGUACUGGGCCCAGUGAUCAUCAUCAUAAUCUGGGAGUUGCUUUAGCAACCAUUCUAAGAAUUCUCGGAAGCUAGGCACAAUUUUUAAUCUGUAAAAA